UAGAUUGGUUCUAUUGUGAGUGGCCAUUGGGCCUUGAUAGGGAAGAACGGUUAAAAUCCGUCGCGGACCCGCCGCCGUAACCGGGAACGAAAGCCGUAAUUAAACCACUGUCGAAGAGAUGGGAAGGCACGGCGAUUAGACUGAUCCGGAAGCCGGAAGACCUGCUUGCAAUCUGUUUGUGGC
rnacentral:ncRNA from 2 species